rnacentral:rRNA from 1 species
UACAGAGGUGGCAAGCGUUGUUCGGAAUUACUGGGCGUAAAGGGCGCGUAGGCGGUUCGUUAAGUCCUGUGUGAAAUCCCCCGGCUCAACUGGGGAACUGCACAGGAAACUAGCGGGCUUGAGUUCGGGAGAGGGAAGCGAAAUUCCGGGUGUAGCGGUGAAAUGCGUAGAUAUCCGGAGGAACACCGGUGGCGAAGGCGGCUUCCUGGACCGACACUGACGCUGAGGCGCGAAAGCUAGGGGAGCAAACGGG